rnacentral:rRNA from 1 species
AGGAAAAGAAACCAACAGGGAUUGCCCUAGUAACGGCGAGUGAAGCGGCAACAGCUCAAAUUUGAAAUCUGGCUCUCGGGCCCGAGUUGUAAUUUGUAGAGGAUACUUUUGAUGCGGUGCCUUCCGAGUUCCCUGGAACGGGACGCCAUAGAGGGUGAGAGCCCCGUCUGGUUGGAUGCCAAAUCUCUGUAAAGUUCCUUCAACGAGUCGAGUAGUUUGGGAAUGCUGCUCUAAAUGGGAGGUAUAUGUCUUCUAAAGCUAAAUACCGGCCAGAGACCGAUAGCGCACAAGUAGAGUGAUCGAAAGAUGAAAAGCACUUUGAAAAGAGAGUUAAAAAGUACGUGAAAUUGUUGAAAGGGAAGCGUUUAUGACCAGACUUGGGCUUGGUUAAUCAUCUGGGGUUCUCCCCAGUGCACUUUUCCAGUCCAGGCCAGCAUCAGUUUUCCCCGGGGGAUAAAGGCGGCGGGAAUGUGGCUCUCUUCGGGGAGUGUUAUAGCCCACCGUGUAAUACCCUGGGGGGGACUGAGGUUCGCGCAUCUGCAAGGAUGCUGGCGUAAUGGUCAUCAACGACCCGUCUUGAAACACGGACCAAGGAGUCGUCUUCGUAUGCGAGUGUUCGGGUGUCAAACCCCUACGCGUAAUGAAAGUGAACGCAGGUGAGAGCUUCGGCGCAUCAUCGACCGAUCCUGAUGUUCUCGGAUGGAUUUGAGUAAGAGCAUACGGGGCCGGACCCGAAAGAAGGUGAACUAUGCCUGUAUAGGGUGAAGCCAGAGGAAACUCUGGUGGAGGCUCGCAGCGGUUCUGACGUGCAAAUCGAUCGUCAAAUA